GAGGGGCCGCGGCGCGCGGCGUGGGCCGGGCCGGGGCAGAGCGAGAAGUUGGCGGCGGCGGCGGCGGCGGGAGCGCAGCUCUGCGUUUGGCACUGUGCUGGCUGAUGACUUAACCCCGGGGGAUGCCGCCGGCAGAAGCAGCUCCGCAGGUCGUCCGGCAAGACCUGUCCCAGUUCCCAUCAGCAGCACUGUGGUAGGAAUGCCUCCGACUUCAUGCUACCAAUGGAACCAUCCUGUUCAGCUCCUGUAAGCAAAAGGAAGGGGUUGAAGUGAAGUUUGUUUGGUUUUGCCUUUUUUGUGUGUGUCUCCAGUACGGGGAGAGCGUACAGCUCAAUUUCUGUUUUUAGCAUUCUUGUGGCAUGAUUCAAAACUGACCUGCUGCGCUGUCACCUGAAGUCUUCAAUAAAUGUACGAAACCA